GACGUAGGGCGCGAGCGUUGUCUGGAUUUAUUGGGCGUAAAGAGCUCGUAGGCGGCUUGUCGCGUCGUUCGUGAAAACUUGGGGCUCAACCCCAAGCUUGCGGUCGAUACGGGCAGGCUAGAGUUCGGUAGGGGAGACUGGAAUUCCUGGUGUAGCGGUGAAAUGCGCAGAUAUCAGGAGGAACACCGGUGGCGAAGGCGGGUCUCUGGGCCGAUACUGACGCUGAGGAGCGAAAGCAUGGGGAGCGAACAGG
rnacentral:rRNA from 1 species